rnacentral:misc_RNA from 1 species
AACGCACGAGACCUGCGGACCUGCGGAGGGAUCAUUAUAGAGUGGUAAACCCUCUGUAAAAGGGGGGGACCUCCUGUCCUUUGUAGGCUCUUUUUUAAAGGGCUUUUUUUAAUUUUCUGCUUCGGUGGGGUUAUCCCACCGGAACAACCUCAAAACUCUGAUCAAAAAAUCGUUCUGUCUGAGAACUUUUUAUAAUAAAAAAAAAACUUUCAGCAAUGGAUCUCUAGAUCGGAAGAGCAC